GAAAAUGCUGUGUAUGAGAGAUGUGAACUUCUGACCUGCCAUGCAAAAAUCUGCCUGCCUCUGCAGAGCCCGUGCUCCUGUCUGAUGUUGGCCAGAGCAGCUACUGGACCUACGUAUGAAGCUCUUACUCCAUCGAAAGCACUGUGCUUGAUGUCUCCAGCACCUGGCGACCCCCAUCCCCCCUGUAGACUGGUCACAUGCAAUGGGAAGAGCUGUGGCUUCACAACCUGAAGACCAGAAAUUGAUUCUCUCU